AAAAUCAGAAGAAGAAGAAGAAGGAGAAGAAUACUGCACGCAUGCACAAUUGAAGCUGCUCCGUCAGACAAAGAAGGACGAAGGCUAACUACUUCCAGAAUCCCGAUUUUAAAGCAAUUUGGUGCGCCAUCCAUUUAUCACAAGUUGGCUGUUAUAAAGUUUCCAAACUGACCAAAGACCAAUGAAUGACUUCUGAAGAAGGGUGGAUUUAUUUGUAAUUUAGUUAAACAAUAAUUUGCCCCGUCAGUGAUAUGGUUUGAAUGCUGCCUGAACGUUCCGAAUUUGGCAGACACGGUGAGGACAAUGCUGAGGAAAAUUGCCACAAACAAAGUCCUGGAGCAGCUUGGCCUCCGUGGAAAGUCAGGAAAAGUGGCGUUUGAGGACUUGCCCCUUUACAGAAUAAUAAAUAAGGCAUGCAGGGGUGUUUACAAGCAGAUGACCACAGCUGAAGUGGAUUGUGAGCUUGGAGAGGUCCUGAAACUGGCCACUUUUCGAAAGGGAGGUUCAAAAUUUGAGGAGAAGAGGAGGAAUUAAGAGGGAGGACAGAAAAAGAAACAAGCAAAAGAACAGAGUGAAAUGAGAGAUGGCUCCUUCUUUUGUGGUCGUUGAGUUCCUUGGUGAACAUUCAGUCGCUGUUGUCCCAACCAAAUGGACAGAAGAUGAUGGAAAGAAUACCUUCUGCUAUUGGCCAAGGCCAAAUCCUACCCACUCCAGAAUCCGGAAAGCUGAGAUUCCUGACAAACAAUUCUGGGAGAGGCUGCCAAUUCGGGUUUUCAGGAAAACAUUGACUGAAGACUUUGACAAGGCCCUUCAAUACGAAAAACAAGCUAAAAUGUUUUCGAGCCCAGAAGAAGUGUAACCAAACGGAGCCACAUCACCCCUGAACGCUAUAGAAACGAUGAGGAAGAUGUGUUUGAUGCUGACGAUGAAGAGGAAAUUCGGCCAAAAAAAAAGUGCAGAAAAGAGAAAACACAGAUCUUCGUCCAGGCACCCCCACUGCCAGAGCUCCCAACCUUUAACUUUCCAAUCUCCAGCCAAUACCAGACCACUCCAAGGCAUCCAGGCAGACCUCACAGCCAAUACCAGACCACUCCAAGGCAUCCAGGCCGACCUCACAGCCCAGCGAGAAGCAGCACUUCCAGGCUCAGUCCAGACAGGAAUGCAUCCAGCUCAAGCCAGUACCAGACCGCUCAAGCCAGUACCAGACCACUCCAACCAGUACGAGUCAGUACCAGACCGCUCCAAGAAGCAGCAGGAAUGCCCUUGACAGUGAACUUUUCCAGUUGAACAUGAAAGUUCAAAAUAUACUUGAGAACCAGGGAGAAAUUAUGCGCAUGCUGAGAGGGCUGGCAGCACAGUCUGUGGGGCCAUAAUCUGUGGAUGUUCAAGAUCUCAUUGAUCAGCCUUUCGAGACUCUUGAGCAGCUGAAGGCCUUCUGUGAACGGCUCGACACUGAUCUUCUGCUCAGAAAGCAGCUGGUAAUUAGUUUUAAUUCCCCACUGCAAAAAUAUCUUGCUCAGUUAUCAAAAAACAAUUUCUAAUCAAGUACAAUAUUGUUGUUUAUUUAUUUGUAUAGGUGAAAGCUCUUACUGCUCUUGGUGGGCAGAAUUUGGCAGACACGGUGAGGACAAUGCUGAGGAAAAUUGCCACAAACAAAGUCCUGGAGCAGCUUGGCCUCCGUGGAAAGUCAGGAAAAGUGGCGUUUGAGGACUUGCCCCUUUACAGAAUAAUAAAUAAGGCAUGCAGGGGUGUUUACAAGCAGACAACCACAGCUGAAGUGGAUUGUGAGCUUGGAGAGGUCCUGAAACUGGCCACUUUUCGAAAGGGAGGUUCAAAAUUUGAGGAGAAAAGGAGGAAUUAAGAGGGAGGACAAAAAAGGAAAAAGAAACAAGCAAAAGAACAGAGUGAGAUGAGAGGAUUUGGGUUUCCCUGCUUGGGCUGCUGCCCCCGCGACCCGACCUCGGAUAAGCGGAAGAAGAUGGAUGGAUGGAUUUACUUCUAGGAACAGAACCAAGAAGGGGCAGGAUACACUGACGCGCACGACCAAGACCACUGCAUUCCAUUCCAUUUAUAAAUGAUAAAUGGGUUAUAUGUCAAAGCGCUUUGAGUACCUUGAAGGUAGAAAAGCGCUAUACAAGUAUAUACUUGUAUAGCGCUUUUCUACCUUCAAGGUACUCAAAGCGCAAUUGACAGUAUUUCCACAUUCACACACUGAUGGAGGGAGCUGCCAUGCAAGGCGCUACCAGCAGCCAUCAGGAGCAAGGGUGAAGUGUCUUGCCCAAGGACACAACAGACGUGCCUAGGAUGGAAGAAGGUGGGGAUUGAACCCCAGUAACCAGCAACCCUCCGAUUGCUGGCACGGCCACUCUACCAACUUCGCCACGCCGUCCCCAUUUUUGUAUUAUAUAGAUAGAUAGAUAGUACUUUAUUGAUUCCUUCGGGAGAGUUCCCUCAGGAAAAUUUAAAUUCCAGCAGCAGUGUACAAAAUUGUAAAAAGUAAAUAAUGGGGGUAUAAAUGGAGACAAAAUAGAAAAAUUACAAUAGAAUAAAAAUGAAAAGCAAUGAUGAGAAUAAAAAUAUAACAGUAAAAUAAGAAUAUAACAAUAGAAACUAGGCAGUAGUGACCAUGUUAUGAAAAAGUAUUUAACUGUUAUUGUUGUAUCACUAAUAAAGAAUUAUUUCUGUUGAA